AUACAUUUCAAGCCACAGUCUGAUCACUUGACAAGGACUACAAGAGACUAAAUCUACAUUCUGUUACCACAUCCCAGAAACAUCUGCUGUAACUGGAUUUGGUCUCUGUUAUGUGUCAACCUGAACCACCUGAGAGGUUCCACACCCAAGAGGAAAAACCCCUGGCACCAUCUCAGCCCUUACUUUAACCAGACUGCUCUUCUGAGAGAGACAAUCACUGAGUCCAGGAGAUGCUAUGCAUGGAACAACUUGAUCAUGGUCUGGUUUUCACUUUCUAGAUAAGUACAGUCACACUACAAAAUGCAGUACACAUUCUUGAAAAUAGAGGUUAUGAUGUCACUUGAAGGGAAAAGUCAGAUACAAAUGUGUAUUAUAUAUGACAGCUCCUUCCCUGCUCUGCACAUAUGGUUCUGAACACGUGUUUCUUUAUCUGCUGAUUCAAUACCUACAUCAUUUUGUCCCUCAGUGAAAUUUCUUUCCUGGGAUCCUUGCCAAAUGUUUAAAUUCAGAGUGAUGGUAUUUUUUUCUGGGAGGAUUGUGUCUCCACAAAGAGCCAAAAAGGCUGCACUGGGAAGCUGUCACAUAGUCCUGCUUCUAGAGCUGUGUAUGACAAAGCAAAAGGCUUUAAUGUCACUAUUAACAAAUGUACUAUCACUCAGCCUUAUCACCUCCUGACAUCCCUUGACUCCCUCUUCCCAACUUCCUUUUGCCUUCUCACUAUCCUCAGGUGCCUGUCACAGCAAAAAAAAAGAACUUAAACCA